rnacentral:rRNA from 1 species
UAGGGAAUAUUAGUAAUGGGCGAAAGCCUGAACUAGCAACACCGCGUGUGCGAAGAAGGCCUUCGGGUUGUAAAGCACUUUUUGAGAGGAUGAGGAAGGACGGUACUCUCAGAAUAAGUCUCGGCUAACUACGUGCCAGCAGCCGCGGUAACACGUAGGAGGCAAACGUUAUCCGGAUUUACUGGGCGUAAAGCGCGUGUAGGUGGUUUGGUAAGUAGAGCGUGAAAGCUCCUGGCUCAACUGGGAGAGGUCGUUCUAAACUGCCGGACUAGAGGAUGGUAGAGGGAGGUGGAAUUCCGGGUGUAGCGGUGGAAUGCGCAGAUAUCCGGAGGAACACCAGUGGCGAAAGCGGCCUCCUGGACCAUGCCUGACACUCAGGCGUGAAAGCUAGGGUAACAAACG